UUUMUUUUUCAUGUCCAAAGGUGUGUGACUCCUUGCUACGUACAGAUGCACUACCACUGGCUAAAAGUAGCCAAAGUUCCUUUGUGGCAGAGCAUGUCUUUCUGUGAGAUCAUUGAUUUCCUGUACAGUAGUGUUCUGCCCCAGUUUGAAGAGCUCCUCCGACACAGUCAGACUGAGUCAGGGGAGACUGAGUCCAGAGACGAUCGACGAGAGCACUUCUUGCUUUCAGAGAUCUUUGAAAAUGAGGACGACUGAGAUUAUUACAGCGAGGUUCAGAACACUUGAUAACCAAUACACAGUUCUCCGAGGCUCAAUGACCCAGGGUUUUUUCCUGGGUCAAAAAGGGGCUUAUGUUGGGGGUAGCAGUCGACAUGGGUGAGUUAUAGAGGCCUCCAUCUUGGCAGUGUAGAGAUUCAAUUUUUUUAUGCCAAUUUCAGUUGCAACACUAACGAGUUCCAAACUGCCUCUGGGAGCAACGUCAGCACAAGAACUGUUCGUCGGGAGCUUCAUGAAAYGGGUUUCCAUGGCCGAGCAGCMRCASACAAGCCUMAGAUCACCAUGYGCAAUGCCAAGCGUCAGCUGGAGUGGUAAAGCUCACCGCCAUUGGACUCUGGAGCAGUGGCAACGCCUUCUCUGGAGUGAUGAAUCACGCUUCACCAUCUGGCAAAUGAUCGGAUCAUUUUAUAAUUAGUGCGUCUUAUGUUUUAGCCUUAUUUUUGUACUUGUGUUUUUUAUGUCAGCCCUUGGGCUUCCAACCAGCACACAGUUUUUAAUUUUAUUUUUUAAUCUGUUUUGCUGUUUAUCACUUUUCUUUGGUCUAAAUAAAUUAAACUAAACAGCG